UACGUAGGGUGCGAGCGUUGUCCGGAUUUACUGGGCGUAAAGGGCGCGUAGGCGGCCUUCUAAGUCGAACGUGAAAUCCCCGGGCUCAACCCGGGAACUGCGUCCGAUACUGGAAGGCUUGAAUCCGGGAGAGGGAUGCGGAAUUCCAGGUGUAGCGGUGAAAUGCGUAGAUAUCUGGAGGAACACCGGUGGCGAAGGCGGCAUCCUGGACCGGCAUUGACGCUGAGGCGCGAAAGCCAGGGGAGCAAACGGG
rnacentral:rRNA from 1 species